ensembl:snRNA U6 U6 spliceosomal RNA
GUGCUCACUUCAGCAGCACAUAUACUAAAAUUGGAAUGAUAUAGAGAAGAUUAGUAUGGCCCCUCUGUAAGGAAGACAUGUAAAUUCAUGAAGUACUCCAUUAAAAA